UCACCGGAAAUACACUGCGGCAAUGUCAGUCUUAAUUCUUGCGCAGAGCGAUUGACCUUGGAAAAAAUUUGUUCUAUCAAUUUUUGGGCAUAUUCCUGAAUUUUACAGCGAAGCAGCCUUUCCGAAAAUGACUGACACAACUUUAAAGUUUGGACCAGAAUGGUUGAGAGCCCUUACUGAACCUCAGCAUGCUACUGUCAACUAUACACCGCCUCUACCUAACAUGAAGCUAGCAGACUUUAGAUAUGGAAGGGAGGAGAUGCUCGCCUUAUUUGAUAAAGAUGCACUUCCGGCCGAAGAUUUAUUUUCCCUUGGAACACUCUUCGUCGAGAAAUGUCAGUUUCCUCUCAAUCUUAUUCAGAUGGGAGAAGAGGAAACUCGACUUUGGCAGAGAGGCGCCAACAGUGACGCCAGCCUUCGCCCUUUUGGUGUGCAGGGAAAACGCCCACCGUCCCCAACCCGGGGGCGGGGGCGUGGUCGAGGUGGUGCUGCAUAUCCCCACUACGAGCGGAACCGGUUGAAUGAUGAGGAGUCCGACCUAAAAGGAAGGAUUGACCGCGAGGACCGAGGAUAUAUUUCAGGGCGGGGAAGGAGUGUAGGCUUCGAGAGACAAGGUGGAGGAUGGUUUGACUCUGGGGAGAAGGUUAAAGAGGAGGACAAGGAUGCUGCUAGCCCCAGGAAAAACUAUUCUCGUGCUCCUGCCGAGGAUUGGAGAGGAAGGACUGGAGAGGGUCCUAAACCUAAGAAUGAUGAUGGUUGGAGAAGUGUUCCUAGUUCACGAGGUUGGAGUAAUGGUCCUGUAUCUAGCUCUUGGAGGAACAAUGACAGGAUUAACAACGGGAAAAUGCAACGAGCUGACCCACGAGAUGGACGGAUCGGUGGAGAUCCUAGAAGCUCAGGUGAUCGCUGGAGGAAAGAUGACGAUGAUCAAUUUCAAAACGCUCGUCCAGGUGCAGUGCGAAGACGUCAGGAGAGUGAUCAUCUUCCUGAAUGGGCGAUUGAUGAUCCAACCGAAGGAGGAACAUUCGACGAUUCCGGGAAAUUUAAAGCGGAGCAGAUGAACCACUUGGCGGCGCAGCAGAACAAGUGGGAUGAAGGAGACAAGUGGGAUGAAGAAGAAGUUGACCCUGAGGAAUUACCCAACUCCGAACCAUCCAAAGCUCCAUCGGAAACUCCAAUAACCGUGGAAAACCCGGCAAUUUCAAAACCACCGAUCCCUAAGCCCGAACCUUUGAACGAGAGCUCUAAACCAGCUCCUCGCGAUGUCGGAGAUAAUGAUAAAACCACUUCUGGGGAUACCGGUGAAAAUGUUAGACAGGACGAGAUGGACGCUAUGGUUGGGCACCUGGCGUCCAUGAUAGGAGAGGAUGAUAAUCGAAAUGUUUUGAAGAACACCCCGCCCCCAGGAGUUGGGAUGGAUAUUGAAGAAUCAUCCUGGACCUACCUAGAUCCUCAGGGGCAGGUUCAAGGACCUUUUAAAUCCGAUGAAAUGUUAGAAUGGUGCACUGCUGGAUAUUUCCCUCAUGAUCUCAUGGUCCAGAGAAACAUGGAUUCUAAUUUCACUCCGUUGUCGGAGUUGACCAAACUUUACGGUAGAAAUCCCUUUACUCCUGGACCUAUUCCCCCACCCAUUAAUAACAAUAUGAUCGAGGAACAGCUGAAACAGCAGCAGUUAAUGCAGCUUCAUCAGCUCUACUUGCAACAACAACAUCAGCAACAGCAACGGUUACUGGCACAGCAGCAGUUACUGUUGCUUCAUCAGCAGCAACAACAACAGCAGCAGCAGAUUCCAGAUCUGUCCAAUCUGCUAUUCAAUUCUACCAAUCCUUUGGUCAAUAAAAUAAUGCCUGACCCUAGGGCAGAUUUUCUGGGUGGGUAUGAUAAUGAUCCGCUCAGAAACCUUUUGGCAAACCUUAAUAAGCCCCCAGAGCUUGCCUCCAUUAACAAUUUGUUACCACAAAGCCAUGGUAACGUGAUGCUUCCUGGUUUAGAUUUAAACCCGAGGCUAAACAGUUCAGGAAACUCGCACAGUGUGUCCCCUUCCACGGAUCCAUACGAAAUCCUGCUCCAGCAAGAUUUCAAGUCCAGGAUGCAGGCAGAGGAGGAGAUUAAUCCUAACAGAGACUUUGAUCCUAUACAAUCUCUUCUGCUACAGCUACAGAGUAAAUCGCAGAGUAAUUCAAGUGAUCAAAACUCUCCGCUCUCAUACCGUAAAGAUAUGAGUGAACAGAGCCCAGUUGCUAACUCAGACUUUUCCGGAGAUGGCCCACUAGCUGAUCAUUUUAGAGAAAAUCAAACUGACUCCGGACACGCUAUUUCUAAUCUCCAGACCGAGCCUAACGAAUCAGAGUUUCCUGAACCUCCGGUUGAAAUUAUUGAUAAAUCCGAAGUCUCUCAAUUUGAAGUUCCAAAAAGUCGAGAGAAGAAGGAUAGAAAGAGCAAAAAAGCUGAGGAGAAGAGAAAAGCUAAAGAAUCCAAAACUAACGGAAUAUCAGAUGUGCCAUAUAUCCCGGGUAUGCCUGGAAGCUUGCAACCUGUUGAGCAGAUUGUUAUCCAACCAGAACCUGAGGAGGAAUAUAAUGAACCUGAGUACCUGAAACCGGUUCACGUACCGGAACCUAAAGUGGAAAAGAAAAGGAUUGAGAUCCCCGUGAAACCUGCUCCUUGGGCUAAGAAGGAAGUAGUUGUAAAGAGUAACAAUGAAAACAGUUUAUUGUCUCUACAGGAGAUUCAGAAGCUUGAAGCUGAGAAGGAGCGGCAGGAGAAACUUGCGAGGGAUCAGGCCGAGGCGGAGGCUCGUGAGGAAAUGCGGCGGAGAGAAGAUGAAGAAAGACUCCGCAGAUCAAAGCAGGCGAACUGGUCCGCCGCACCUUCCUACUCCGGGCAGGUGAAGAGUCUGGCAGAGAUCCAGGCGGAGGAGGCGAGGGUGGAACGGGAGAAGAACGAGAAGGAGGCGAAGGAUAAGAAAAAACGUGUGAAAGAACUCAGCGGUAAAGCGACGAACUGGAACUCGAAAUCAAGUACGAGCUGGGCGGGUAAAAUCGCUGCAUCGGCAAAUAUACCUCAAACCAAACUAAUUGGUAACACAACUUUAGCUCAAGGAACAAGUGAAAGUGCUACUGUUGUUGCCCCUGAAGGAUUCUGGGACCCUGUGGUAACAGUUAAAAGCCCAGAUAAGGUUCCAACUCUGCCAGUAAAUAAGAAAAAGAAGAAGGUUGCUGAACCAGUGGAGAAGGAUCGGGGUAAAGAGUUUGACUCCUGGUGCGUAAGUGCUCUUGACGGUUUAGGAGCACAGGUUGAUAUCCCAACCUUCCUCGCCUUUCUCAAGGAUAUUGAGUCUCCUUAUGAGGUACAUGACUAUGUGAAGUCCUAUGUCGGUGAAGGGAAGACACAGAAACAGUUUGCUGUUGAUUAUCUUGAACGGAGAUCACGAUGGAAGAAUGCUAAGAAGCGUGGAACCAAGUAUGAAGACGAUCUUACAACACCGGCCCUUGCCAUCACUCCUGGGGAAGGAGAAUUCCAGGAAGCUACGAGGAAGGGAAAGAAGAAAAGUAAGAAUAGUAAAUCCAACCUAAAUCAUCUUCUGGGCUUCUCAGUUCAAGGACAGGGGGUGAAUAGAGGAGAACUGGAUGUUCCACAUUAAAUAUAAUUUUCAUCGCUAAUCCCUUCCUCGUUAAUUCCUUCCAGACGCUUCCUUGGUCAUUAAUAUCUUGUUUAACCUUAUUUUGUUAUACGUUCCUGCUCUUCACUCGUUAUCCAGUCCUAGAUUCUUUCUCGUCCGUCCAAUCUUGAUCUUCCUCAUAACCUAGAAUCCCAUGAGUAACAUACCCUACUCUAUCCAACCAGUCAAACUUUUGAUAAUUCUAAAUAAAAGUGAUAGAAUUUA
rnacentral:misc_RNA from 1 species